AUGAGCACCGACUUGUUCAGGCGCAUUGCAGAAAAACUAGCGAGCCAUGACCGGGUUUUUCAGCAAAGGGGGAAUGCCGCCGGAGAGCUCGGGCAUAGCACCUUUCUGAAGGUGACAGCCGCUUUGCGUAUGUUGGCAUACGGUAUCCCGGCUGAUCUAGUUGAUGAUCACUUGGCUAUGGGUGAGAGCCAAGCCAUCAUGUGUGUCAAGCGCUUUGCAGUGGGAAUUGUGCAAGUGUUUGGCGAGGAGUAUUUGAGAUCUCCCAAUGCUGAAGGCGUCGCAAGGCUAUUGGCGAUGAACAAAACUCGCGACUUUCCUGGCAUGCACUACUAG
rnacentral:rRNA from 1 species